GACUCGGUUAGAUGCCUCGACCAAGGUAUCCCUGAGGAUUAGUUUUGGCUUGAGCCUUGUUUUUUUUUAUAAAAGACAUAAGCCUUAACAACUGUUUUGGUAAAUUACAAAUAUUUUAUGGUUUAAGAAAUAAAUUGAAAACAUUAUGAAAUGGUUUGUGAUUUGUUGUUUAAACUUGCCUCCCUGUUACUCGCCUUUAGAUAUUUAUGAUAAUGUUUGUUUACUCAUUGGGAUUGCAAAAUCUCACCCACCUCCUUUCCAAACAUUUCAAGUCUGUGGUAGCUUGUAGAUACCCUAUUUUGUCGAGGAUUCCAGUUGACAUCUUUACCACACAGACAGUAGGUUUCUAGCACCAACACUGGGUGUAUUUUGGGCCACUUGUCAUUGUAACCAUUAUUNNNNNNNNNNNNNNNNNNNNNNNNNNNNNNNNNNNNNNNUAUGUAUGAAUUUAUUUUACUUACACAUUACAAAAGAUUUCUUACACGUGUUUCUAUAAAUAUUGUUUUAUAUAAAAAUGCUAUAUUUUAAUCAAUAUUUUGAAUAGUGAUAUUUGUCUAUAAAUCCUUUAAAAAAAAUUGUCUUUGGAUUUAUUUGAGACAAAAACGACCAUUAAUUAUUUAAAAUGGGAUAUUUAACAACGAUUGCUCACAGGAAAGGAAAGAAAUUGAUAUGUAAGCCUUGCGGGGUUCUGGUUGGCAUUCAGGAAAAUGAGUGUCAAUCGGGACGUCGUGACGAUUGUCAUGGGCCCGAGGGAGGUUCCGGGUCAUGACAGUAUCUUAUACGCUUAUAAUGAGUAACUUAACUAAAUGAGCAACAUUUAGGUUUUGAGACAAUGCGAGGAAACAAACUUGGUUUUGAAUUUAGAGAAGUGCCAUUUUAUGGUACAAGAAGGAAUAGCUCUUGGACAUAAGGUGUCCAUGAAAGCAUUAGAAGUGGACAAGGUUAAGAUAGAGACAAUCAAGAAACACCCACCACCAAAUUCGAUAAGAGGUAUUAGAUGUUUCCUUGGACAUGUCGGGUUUUAUCGGCGGUAUGUUAAGGAUCUUUCCAAAAUCUCUAAGCCUUUAUGUAAUUUGUUGGAAAAACACAUUCCCUUUAAGUUCAAUGAUGAUUAUCAUGCAACAUUUGUAGAAUUGAAAAAUAGGAUGAGAUUUGCACCCAUUAUUGUAGUUCCUGAUUAGUCAUUUCCAUUUGAACUCAUUUGUGAUGUCAGUAACAAUGCUGUAGGAACGAUGCUAAGACAAGGAAAAAAUAAAAUUUUUGUAACACCUCGUACUUUGCUAUGUUGACUAAUAGAACUUAUCGGAUACCAAUUGAGGUUAAUUAUAAUGUUUAAAAGUAAUGAAGGGUGAAAGGCAUAGUUUGGAAUAAAAUAUUCCCCACGCAAAGAAAUAAUGAUUAAAUAAUAAUAUUUUUAUUAAGGAUGAAUUAACAAGAUAAUAAGUGAUUUGGGAGUGAAUCGGGGAAUAAUAAGAUAUUUUGGGUACCAAGGAGGCAAGUGGAAAAUUUUGGAAUAAAAAAAUAUUUUAUUAAUAAAAUAAUAUUAAAGUAUUAAUAUUUUAUUCAGUGUCAAAAUUUUCCAUGAAGAAGGAGUAUAUGGUCAAUCUAAGUGGGAGAGAAGAAGAAUGAGGAAAUUUCGAAGAAAAUUGAUGUUAAUAGGGCCUGCGUGUCUUUAUUAAAUAAAGCUAGCAUGAGUAAGUAAAUAUUUAAAUAUUACGGUGAUACCGCGUUGAAGUAUAAACUUGAUAUUUUAUUGACACAAGUGUUAAGGAAGAAAAAUGGAAAGAAAUUGGAAUUAAAAGAUUGUGGGAGGAUACAAUUAAAAAGGGUGAAAACCUUAUAGGGCAAAAUGAUAAUUUUGCCAUUAGUUUGGUCAAAGCUUCCAAAGGAAGCUUUGACUCUUCAUCCUUAUCCCAUGGCCAGUUCUUUUGGAAGCUUUGACUCUUCAUCCUUAUCCCAUGGCCAGUUCUUAUCUUCACCCAAAAGAUAUUUUCUUCUUCACCUUCAUGCUCCCAUGCCAUUUUCAUGCUUACAUGCCAUUUUCACCUUGCCACCAUGCAUUUGAAAAGAAAAAUGGCUUUGUUUUGCAAGGAAAACCAUACUCUUGGAAAGAAAAUAGAUGAGAUCCGUUGGAAGAAAAGAGAAAGGAAAGAAAGAAAGUAGAAAGAAAGAGAGAGAAAGGAAGAAAAAGCUUGAUUUUGGUGAUUCAAGCAAGGAAAUGUAAGGAUUCUUGUUUUGAGCUUGAGUAAUCUUUGAAAAUGAGUUAGUGACUAAGAGAAAUGUCUUGUGGCAGCAAAGAUUGGCUUGAUUGGAGAAAAACUGGUGACAUACAAGCCAAUAAACUCGUGGGUACACGAUGGACUCAAAGUAGAAAAGGAAAGCGGUAAGCUUAACACUAUAUUUUAAAGCAUAAGGUUAGUUGAAUAUUGUGAGGAAAUAAUUGUGCAAGUGUAGGCAACAUAUGAAUGUAAAUUGUGGUGCAUGUAAACUUAGGAAAUGCUUGAUGAAAUUAUAUUUAUAAUUGCUACCAUAUGCGAGGUUAUUGGUGUGAAAAUGAUAGUUAAACUUGAUAGAUACCAUUGGAAAGGAUUAAUAUGUGUGCUAACGUUAUAAACAAGUUGCCAAUACUUAUAAUCUAAAGAAUUACGCAAGCAAAGGAUAUGAAGAACCUUAGCAGCAAAAACGUGUAAAGAUGCAAGUUAGUAGAAUGAGGAUUCAUGAUUGAAUGAGAAAGAGAAGUGGAAAUGAUAUACACUAAAUGUAUUGAGUUUAAUUUUUUGCUAGAAAAGUUUACCGUAGUGGCGUACCGGGUGCGGGAACGAGUGACCGGCAAGUAGAAAUAGCGAGAUACGCACCCGAAUCAAUAGCGAUAUAGUAUCUCGCUAUCGUAAGGUGUGUAAGGGGUGCCUAUUUCAAAAAUUUCCAUAGCUAUAAAAUGUUAUACAUUUUACAAAUGUUUCCAGAUUUCAUUAAAUGCAAUUAUGGAAAGCACGAGUUGUUAGCCUCGAUAGGUGAUUUCUAAAUGGAUUUAUAAUGAUUAAUACAUUGUUAUUGUUGAAAGCAUGAGCUGGUAGAACUCGUAGGACAUUGUGGAUGCAAGUUGUUUUGAAAAUUGUUUUGGAUAUAUCUAUAGAUGAGCUACUUAAAUUGUUUUAGAAACCGGGAAACAAGCCUUCUAUACUGUUUUGCAUUCAAAAUCUGUACCUUGCAUUUUUGUGUGAUAUGCAUAGUUUAAAUGUAAUUGUUAAAUGAUUUAAAUGCAAGUUUUGAGCACCUGUUUUAGUUCGAUCACCAUGCUUUUUUAUGUGAAAAGUAAUUUGAAAGGUUAUUCAACCUUGUUUCAAAUGGUUUUAAGAAAAAGACUUAGAAACCUCGAUUUGAUUUUUGAAAAUGGUUUUGACAAAGCAAGUGCGUCGAGAGUAGGCCGGCUAUCACUUCGGUUAAGUGUGACCCCCGUGCACAAGUGAGCUUUAGCUAGAAAACCUUUGGGUCACCGAAGGGCGGUUAGGCAUGGCGGGGGCCACGACUUGUGAUAUUAUAUAAUAUUGAUACUUUCAUAUACUAAAUUGAACCAUAAAUAUAAAAAUCAAUACAAACUGUUAUUUGCCUUGAUAGGCUGGAUUGUGAUAUAAUUGCCAUGUCAUGCGGUUGAGAUUUUAUUGUAUGGUGGGUUAGCUUGCUGCAGUGGGCGGGUUUUGUGGACCAACAUAUUAGAGGGGCACGGAAUCUGGAUAUGUAUCUGUACCUUAGUCAGAGAGGCACGUAGGGUAUCUCCUGAGGUAUGGAUAGAGUUCACAUCACGCCGAACCACCUAGUGAUGAUGAACUCCGCUAACGUUAAGGAACGACUAUGUUUUCAAAAUAUAAAAAAACAUGAUUUAUGCAUACGUAACUUUUUAACAGCCUUGGCGGACUCGGUUUGUAAAGCUUGACCUUAUAAAAUACUUGUCAUGACAUACAUGUGAUGAUAGCAUGAUUGCAUGCUAGGAGAGUUCCAAAAAAUUUACAAAAGUAGGUGUUGUACCUAGAGGUACAACAAAGUUGAUUUAAGCCUUGAACCAGAUCAAAUAGGAAUUUUAAGGUGAGAUUAAGAGAUUCAUAGUCCAUGGAUGACUCAAAAUGGUAAUUCGGAGUUUGAGGAUCAAUUUGGAGUCAAACCAGAAUUUUCACUACUAGGGGUAAAAUGGUCAUUUGCCACCUAGGGACAAAAUGAUAAUUUUUAGAAAAUAAUUUUCUUGCCCCAUUUGACUUAUUGGAAUUUGAUUUGAGCAUAGGAGUAUGAUUUGAGAUUGAAAAGUGAAAAAAAAAAUUAUGAUCCCGAUAUUUUUUGGAGCAUAAGGGUAAAAUGGUAAUUUUGCCAUUCCAAGGGUAAAAUUGUAAUUUUACACACCGACACUUGUCCAGCACAUGGAUUUUACCCAAUUUAUGAUGGAUGAUUGAAGGGAUUUAUAUGGUGGAGAGAGAAAGCUUAAUAGUUAAGAAAUAAAAAUGGGCUAAUGAAAUGGUGACACAUGGCAUGUUAAUAUCCAUUUAUUUUUUUUAGCUUUAAAAUCAACAAAAAUCAGCCUAUAUUCUUCAUUAUGGCCGGCCAAAGCAUGAAGUGAAGAAGAACAAAGAAAGAACAAAACCUAGGUGGNNNNNNNNNNNNNNNNNNNNNNNNNNNNNNNNNNNNNNNNNUACCUUUCCCAUGCAUUUCUCCUUAUUUUUCAUGAUUAAAUUUCAUGUUUUCAUGGUGAAUUCAUGGCUGACCAAAUGGGUAUGGAGAGAGAAUGAAGUUGGAUUGAUUUGAUUCUAAGUUAUGUUAGUGUUUUUAGUUAGUUUAGCAUAUUUAGAAACAAAACAACAAGAAAAAAAUUCAUUUUCUCCCAUUACCCAUAAGAGGCUGAAUUUUAUAGGGAGGAUAUUGAGGCUGAAAUUGAUGAUAUUUCAUGAUAUUUUGGUGAUAUUUAAUGAUUGGUGAGGCUAGAAAUUUAAUGGGAAAUUUUGGCAUGAAAAUCUGAAUUUUUACCUAAUGUAUAGACAUGUGCAAUUUAUCAUUCGGACUGAUAAAUUGAAUCAUAUUCAUAGUCAUUGAGAUGUUUUAAGUAUAAUUGGAGUGUAGAAAGUGAAAGAAAUCGAUUUGGAGUUAAAUUGGAGGUUAUAGCCAAUUACACCGAGAAUAGUGCGAAUUAGGUCGAAUACUGUAUUUAAACGGCUAUUCGGACAUUUUUGCAUCCCAUAUCAUGCAUUAGUAGUCUAAAUUAGUUUAAUUUUAAUUUUGUACCAAUGUAGUAAGUUUCUCGAUUUUGUACUAUGUCUAGGUGGUGAAUCCUCCAAUAAAGGCAAGAAAAUUGUACCCGAGGAUCAAUAGUCAGAGUACUCUAGAAAUUUGACUCCCGAAAUAGUGAGUAACAUUACGAUCAUUUUAAUUAUCUAAAGUAUGUUCUUAUAAGGUUUUGGUGAAUUUUAUGAAAUUGAGUUCAAAUGGUAAAUUUUUAUGUUUUGUAAACAAAAUGUAUUUAAAUGAAAAGAUUUUAUAAAUUGCCUUGAAACAAAAUAAUGCUUUUAAAAAUAGAGUAAUUGGAGACCACCGGCAUGUUGUAAAUUUAUGAUUGAAAAUUGAUGGCUUAUGUAAAACCCGAUCCUAUAAACACAUGUCAUGACAUACAUGCACUGAGUAGCAUGUUAUUAUGCUAGGAAAGCAUCUAAGAAUAGAUGAAACCUGUUAUCGUACCUAACGGUACACUUGAGUUGAUUUAACCUCAAACUAGUUCAAAUAGGAAUUGUAGGAUGAAAUUUAAUAUUUUAUAGUCCAGGAAUGACUAAAAAUGAUUGUUCGGAGUUCAAGGGUUCAUUAGGGGUAAAAUUGAAAAUUUUGAUGUUCAGGGGCAAAAAUCAUCAUUUUUUCACCUAAGAUAAUAAUUUGAUCAUGGAGUGAAAUUUUUGAACAAGCUUAACUAUUUGGAGUAUAAUUUAAUGAUAGGCAGUGAAAAAGUUUAAUUCUGGUGAUUUUUGGAGUGUAGGGGUAAAAUCGUAAUUUUACCACCUGCGGACAAAAUUUGAGAUUAUGAGAGAAUUUAGAUCAAAUUUGACAAAUUGGAGAAUGGUAUGAGUAUAAGGGAUGAAAACUAUGUCUAUGGGCAAUUUUUCAAUUUUUUGGGAAAAAAUGUAAUUUUUCACUUUUACGGGGGCAAAAGUGUAAAUUUUUAAAAUUACUCCACCGAGACUUUGGAUAAAUCUGAGAAUUUUAUCUAAGCUAUGGAUACAUGGGACAAGUGUAUGGUGAAAAUUUGGAAACAAAUGGAUGAAAUUUAAAAAAUGGGCCAAUGGAAAAGUAACACAUGGUACUUUUUAAUGAUUUAAUAUUAUUUUAAUGAAAAGUCAGCCCAUUUAAACCCCAUUUUAAGUGAUGGCCGGCCAUAAGGGAGAACAAGAGAGAAAAUAGAGAGGAAAGGAAGAAAAAAGGAAAAACCAAAGAGAAACAAGAAAAUUCAAAGGGGAAUUCGCGUUUUUAACCCGUUUACGCGUCUAACGGUAAUAUUUUUCGACUUUAGCUUGAUUUCUACCUUUCCUAUGCCUUUGUUUCCAUUUAGCAUACUUGAGGAGAGAGAUCUAAAAGUGACAUCAAGGGCUGGCCGAAGUUCAAGGGGGGAGAAAUUGAAAUUUUUAGGUUUUGAUUUUUAGUUAAAUUGAUAGUUUUAGUUAGUUAAAUAUGUUUAGAAAUUAAAUUGGGCAAGAAAGCAUUCAAUUUUCACAAUACCCACCCUUGGCCGAAUCUGCAAUGAGGUACAAUGAUAAUGAUCUGAUUUUUAUUCUAAGAGAAAUGAAGAGAAAAUGAUGAAAAAUGGUUAAAUGUGAUAGAAAAACAAAGGAGAGAAUUUACCGAGUUAAUGUCCCAUUUUUGGCUGAAUUUUCCAAGGAGGAAAGUGAACUGAUUUUGGUGAUUUUAGAAGGUUAUUGCCUGAUAUUUAACGGUUAGAAAUGCUGGAGAGAGAAUGGGACGAUUUAGAGCUAAAAUGGAGCGCGUUAGCAAUUUAUCGGGUAAAGUGCCAAAAAUAGGUUAAUACCGCGUUUAAGCCGUUUUAGGCUAUUGCAUUUCAUACCAUGCAUUAGUAUAGGAUUUAAGUCAAUUAUAUAGUGAUUUAGCAUCAAUGUGGUGAAUUGGGUAAAUUUUGCAAUGUGUCUAGGAGGAGAGCCUUCCGGUAAAGGCAAGGAAGUCGUACUCGACCAACAGUGAUCUGAGCACCUAGGAAGCAUUUCAUCUGUACAAACGGUGAGUAAACCUAUUAUUAUUGUAAAUUAUCUAGAGUUUAUUUUUAAAUGCUCUUUAUGUAUUUUAUGAAACGAAAAUGAGAUUAAAACGGGAUUUUUGAUGUUUUAGAAAUAAAUGUGACAAAUAAAAAUAUAUUAUGUUGAUUAUGAAAUUGAGUAAUUUGAGGCUACCAAUUGUCUUGAAAAAUAUAUUUUCUUAUGAGUGGCUUAUGAUAUAUGAGUAUAUGUGGCUAUAUUUUCUAAUUGCAUUGGGAAUAGAAUGUAAGCUGUCUUUUACUAUGCGGGCUGGAUAAAUAAAUAAAAGCCACGUUAUACUGUCGAAAGUUUAUUAAAAUUGGUGGGUUUAGUCACUGCAGUGACGGGUUUCCGUAGGCUGCCUAUUAGAGGGGCAUAGUAAACCCGGUUUCAUUGUUACUCCGAUUGUAGAGGCGAGGAGGGUAACUCCCGGGGUAGUGUUCGAGUUCACUUCACGUCGAACCCCCACGUGAAUGUGUAACUCGACCAACGCCAAGGAACGGCUUGUUUUCAAAACUAGAAUGUGUUUAACAUGUAAAUAUCUUAACAACCUUGGCGGACUCGGUUAGAUGCCUAGCCAAGGAAUCCCAGAGGACUAGAUUUUGGCUUGAGCCAUGUUUUUAAUAAAAGUUAUAAGCCUUGACAACUGUUUUGGUAAAUUACAAAUGUUUUAUGGUUUAAGAAAGAAAUUGAAAACCUUAUGAAAUGGUUUAUGAUUUGUUGUUUAAACUUGCCUCCGUUUUACUGGCUUUUAGAUAUUUAUGAUAAUGUAUGUUUACUCAUCGGGAUUGCAAAAUCUCACCCACCUCCUUUCCAAAUAUUUCAGGCCUGUGGUAGCUUGUAGAUAGCUUAUUUUGUCAAGGAUUCCAGUUGACCUCUCUACCUCACAGACAGUAGGUUACUAUCACCAGUACUUGGUGUAUUCAUGGGCCACUUGUCAUUGUGAUUAUUAUUGUACAUUAUAACUUUGUAAAUUAUUGUAUGUAUGAAUUUAUUAUAUUCUCACGCUACAAAAAUUAUUUAUGUAUAGUUCUAUAAAAAUUGUUUUAUAAGAAAAUGAAAUAUAUUAUCAAAUAUUUUUAUUUAGUUUAAUUAGCUAACUUUUCACUAUAAAUGAAUGAUUUAGAUUACAAAAAUUUAUUUUUAAUCGGCAGUGGAUAUUUUUUUACCAUACGUUGUACCUUUAUCAGGUUUCGAAAUUUUUUGGUAAAAAUGACCAAAAUACCCCUAUGUGGCAAAAAUUUUAUUUUGAUUAUUUUCGAUCUAAAAUAGUUAUAUUUUCUUAAAACUUGAUAUUUAACAACAAUUGCUCACAAGAAAGGCAAGAAACUUAUUUGUUAGCCUUGCGGGGUUCCGAUUGGCAUUCCGGAUAAUGAGUGUCAAUCGGGACGUCGUGACGGUUGUCAUGGGCUCGAGGGAGGUUCCGGGUCGUGAAAGCUUAUGUUAUAUUAUUAUUGUGUUGGCAUGACUGGCUGGGCUAUGUUUUAUGAAUUGUAUGAAUUGUUUUAUUUUACUCUUGCAGGCUAGGUAGUAUUAUAUUAGCCCUGUCAUGUUGUUAAAAUUUUAUUAUAUGGUGGGUUUAGCUUGCUGCAGUAGGCAGAUUCUGUGGACCAGCCUAUUAGAGGGGCACAGAAUCCAGAUAUAUAUAUGUACCUCAGUUGGAGAGGCGCGUAGGGUAUCUCCUGAGGUAUGGACAGAGUUCACGUCACGUCGAACCACCUUGUGAUGAUGAACUCUGCUAACGCUAAGGAAUGGCUAUGUUUUUCAAACUAAAAAUGUGUUUACGUGUAUACGAACUUUUUAACAGCCUUGGCGGACUUGGUUAGAUGCCUCAACCAAGGUAUCCUCGAGAAUGAUUUUAGCAGGAGCCAAGGUUUUUAAGAUACUCAUAAGCCAUGUUGAAUAUUUAAAUGAAAAGAAUAUUUAUGUUAUGAAAUGCAUAUUGAGAUGAAAUAUUUUAAUUGUCUCUUUUUACUCGACUUUAGAUAUUUCGGAUGAUGUUUGUUUACUCACUGAGAUUAUAAAAUCUCACCACUCUCCUUUCCACCAAUUUCAAGUUCAGAUUAGGCUGUAGAUAGCUGAGUUCAUCGAGGACUACCCUUGGAUUUGCAUUCCUUCAAACUGUAGGUUCACAGUCCUCUUUACUUUUGGUUAUUCGGGGGCCCACUAGUCAUUGUAAAUUAAAUUAAAUACUCUGGUUUACUGUAUUACAGUAUGUAUGAAUUCACUUUGCUUUUACGCUACAAAAAUUAUCUACGUAUAACUCUAAAAAUAUUGUUUAAUAAGAAAAUAUAAUAUUUUACUUAAUAUUUAUUUUAUUUUCUUAUUAUAUCCAAAUAAUCAUAAUUUCAUUUUAAACGAAUGUUUUAGACAUCUAAAUUUUUUUUUGAUUUUGAAAUAUGUGUUCUGCACUUAUAUACUACAUUAUUGGCUAAUUUCAAAAUUUUAAAAAAAUGACCAAAAUACCCCUGUGAGAUGAAAAUUAAUAUUUUAUUUGUUUUAAGUUGGAAACAGCUUAAAAUCUUCUAAAACACGAAUGGUUGCUCACAAGGGAAAUGAGAUACUGAUAUUAAAGCCUUGCGGGAAAUGAGAUACUGAUAGUAAUGAGUAUCUACUGGGACACCGCGACGGUUGUCAUGGGGUCGAAGGGAGUACCGGGUCAUGAUAAGUCGAUUGGUAUCAGAGCUUUUGGUUUUAAAGAUAAGAGUUUUGGUUUUAAAGUGGUUUUAAAAAAAAAUUUACAGUAUCAGAGUGGCCUCGGAUUAAGUUAGGUUAGGUUGAAUAGAAUGCAUGCAUCUGCAUAUAGAGCCUAAGGUUCCCUAAACUUGCUCGUUUUCUCUUAUAGAUUAUUAUGCCUCCUCGACGCAGACGCCCACCUCUCAUUAGAUCAGUUGGGAGGGGAAGAGGUCGUUCCCAACGUCGUCAGUAAGAUGCAGUAGAGGAGGAAUCGACUGCAUCCACCAUUCGGGCAACACUUGCUGCUAAGCAGGUCGAGACUCUUCCACAUCCUCCACAUCCUCCGCCACCUACUGGUACUCAUGCCAUGUCUCAUGAGGUAGUCCAGGCAUUGGCAACUUUCCUUACCGCUAUUGCUGGCCAGGCUCAGGCUGGUCAGGCCCCUUUUAUAGUACCAUCAUGUAAAACCCGACCCUAUAAAUACAUGUCAUGACAUACAUGCAUUGAGUAGCAUGUUAUUACGCUAGAAAAGCACCUAAGAAUAGACGAAACCCGAUAUUGUACCUAACGGUACACUUAAAUUGAUUUAACGUCGAACUAGUUCAAAUAGGAAUUGUAGGAUGAAAUUUAAUAUUUUAUUGUCCAGGAAUGACUAAAAAUGAUUGUUCGGAGUUCGAGGGUUCAUUUGGGGUAAAAUUAGAAAUUUUGAUAUUCAAGGGCAAAAUCGUCAUUUUGCCACCUAAGAUAAUAAUUUGAUCAUGGAUGAAAUUUUUGAUCAAGNUCCGGGUCGUGACACAUUAGUUGCUCCUUCAGUACCACCACCCCCACCUCCUGUUCCACCACUAGUGCCGGAUGUCUCUAUUGCUAAGAAGUGGAAGAAAGCUAGGCAACUUGGUUGUGUUUCUUUUACGGGUGAGUAGGACCCAACCGUAGCCAAAGAUUGGAUUAAUCAGGUUUCAGAGAUGUUUUCUGAUAUGAGGUUGGAUGAUGACUUGAAAUUAAUGGUGGCCAAGAGAUUACUAGAGAAGAGAGCUCGCACAUGCUGGAAUUCAAUAAAAUCCCGUUCCACUACUCCUCCGACCUGGUCAGACUUCCUAAGAGAAUUUGAUUGUCAGUAUUUCACUUAUUUCCAUCAGAAAAAAAAAAAAGAGAAUUUUUGAGUUUGAAACAAGGGAAUUUAACUGUGGAGGAGUACGAAGCUCGUUUUAACGAGCUGAUGUUAUAUGUUCCGGAUUUGGUAAAAUCUGAGCAAGAUUAGGCCAAUUAUUUCGAGGAAGGGCUUCGUAAUGAGAUUAUAGAGCGAAUGACAGUGACUGGUAAGGAGACACAUAAGGAGGUCGUACAGAUCGCUUUACGGGCUAAGAAGCUUAUGAUUGAGAAUAGGAGGAUUCGGACUGAGUUUGUAAAAAGAAGAAAUUCGAGUUUAUCUUCAAGUCAGCCACCAAAAAGGGGCAAAGACUCAUCUAUUUCAGGGAGCACAACCUCUGUUUCAGUGACAUCUCCUUGACCUCCAUUUUCACAAACACAGUAGAGGCCUCAGAGAUUCAACAGAUCUGCGAUGACUGCUUCUUGGAAGGGUUUCAGAGGUUUUAAUAGAUGUAGGAGAUGUGGGAAGAAUCAUGUUGGGCCGUGUAAGGGACCAGUACGAUGUUAUCAUUGUGAUCUACCGGGCCACUUUAAGAGUGAGUGCCCACAGCUAAGACGGGCUACUACAACUGCUCCAUCUCCACCAGCUCGUACGGAUAUGCAGAGGAGAGAUCCUUCUGGGUUACCAUCGAGGCAGGGAGUGGCUAUACAAUCUGGUGCAGAGAGUAACACCGCGGCAUAUCCACCUUCGAGACCACAGACUUGUACUUUGACAAGAGUUUUCACUGUGACGAAAGAUGAGGCAUGGGUUCGACCUGGAGCAGUGACAGGUAUCAUGUCUUUAUUUGAUAAAAAUGCUUAUGUUUUGAUAGAUUCUGGCUCAGAUAGGUCUUAUGUGAGUACGACAUUUGCAUCAAUUACUGAUAGAAACCUGUAACCAUUAGAGGAGGAAAUUAUAGUGCAUACCCCUCUAGGAAAACAGUUGAUUAGAAAUACCCGUUAUAGAGACUGUGAGGUAAGGGUAGGUGAGGAAGAAUUUAGGGGUGAUUUGAUUCCUUUAGAGAUUCGAGAUUUUGAUUUAAUAUUGGGAAUGGACUGGUUAACUGCACAUCGGACGAACGUGGAUUGUUUUUGGGAAGAAGUUGUUCUUCGAAAUUCGGAGGGAGUAGAGAUUGUAUUUGCAAGGGAAUGUCAAGUAUUACCAUCCUGUGUAGUCUCGGCCAUCAAAGCUUUGAAAUUAGUGCAGAAAGGGUAUCCUGCUUAUUUGGCUCACGUGAUUAAUAUUUCAAAGGGGGAACCUAAAUUAGAUAAUGUCUUAAUAGUAAGUGAGUUUUCUGAUGUAUUUCCUGAUGAGUUACCAAGACUACCUCCUGAUCGAGAGCUUGAGUUCCCUAUUGAUUUACUUCCGGGUACUGCACCUAUUUUUAUCCUUCCAUAUAGAAUGGCUCCAGUAGAGUUGAAGGAACUGAAAGUCCAAUUGCAAGAUUUGGUGGAUAAAGGUUUCAUUUGCCCUAGCAUUUCUCCUUGGGGAGCACCAGUCCUAUUUGUAAAGAAGAAAGAUGCCACUCUUCGAUUGUAUAUCAAUUAUCGUCAGCUGAACCGAGUGACCAUCAAGAAUAAAUACCCUUUACCCUAGAUCGAUGAUCUUUUUGAUCAAUUACGAGGUGCUAUGGUGUUUUCAAAGAUUGAUUUGAGGUCUGGGUAUUAUCAGUUGAAGAUUAAGGAGCAAGAUGUACCCAAGACUGCUUUUAGGACGCGUUAUGGGCAUUAUGAGUUUCUAGUGAUGCCGUUUGGUUUGACUAAUGCCUCGACAGCUUUUAUGGAUCUUAUGAACAGGGUGUUCCAUCCAUAUUUAGAUAAGUUUGUGAUAGUGUUCAUAGAUGACAUCCUGGUUUAUUCAAAGAAUGAUGAUGAACAUGCUGCCCAUUUGCGCAUUAUGUUGCAAACUUUGCUCGAGAGACAACUCUAUGCCAAGUUCUCUAGAUGUGAUUUCUAGUUAAAGGAAGUGGUUUUCUUGGGACAUGUGGUGUCCGGAGCUGGAAUUUAUGUCGAUCCCAAGAAGAUUGAGGAAAUCUUACAAUGGAAGCAACCGAGAACGGUAACUAAGAUUCGUAGUUUCCUUGGCUUAGUCGGUUAUUAUCGAAGAUUUGUUCAGGGAUUUUCUUUGAUAGCAGCUCCUCUGACUCGUUUGACUCGUAAAGGAGUUAAGUUUGAGUGGGAUGAUGUUUGUGAGAAUCAAUUUCAGGAACUAAAGAACCGGUUAACCUCCGCUCCCGUUUUAACACUUCCUGUUAAUGGAAAAGAAUUUGUGGUAUACAUUGAUGCAUGUAAGUUGGGAUUAGGGUGUGUAUUAAUGCAGGAUGAGAAAGUAAUAGCUUAUGCUUCCCGGCAGUUAAAGAAGCACGAGACGAAUUACCCUACUCAUGACUUGGAGUUAACAGCAGUAGUUUUCGCAUUGAAGAUUUGGAGACAUUAUUUAUAUGGUGAGCAUUGUCGAAUUUUUACUGAUCAUAAGAGUUUGAAAUAUUUGCUCACCCAGAAAGAGCUUAACUUGAGACAGAGACGAUGGUUGGAGUUGAUUAGGGAUUACGACUUGGUACUUGAUUAUCAUCCUGGAAAGGCAUAUGUUGUAGCGAAUGCUCUAAGUCGUAAAUCCUCAUCUUCAUUAGCUAUACUUCGGAGUUCUUAUUUUUUGAUGUUACUUGAGAUGAAGUCUCUAGGGAUCCAGUUGAAUAAUAAUGAGGAUGGAACCCUACUUGCUAGUUUCGUUGUGAGACCUUUAUUGUUGAAUCAAAUCAGAGAAUUGUAGAAAUCUAAUGAUUGGUUGAAACAGGAAGUUUAAAAGCUACAAGAUGGAGAAAUUAGUGAGUUUAAACUCAAUGAUGAUGGUACCUUGAUGCUUAGAGACCAGAUUUAUGUUCUUAAGGAUGACCAGUUGAGAUGAGCUAUUUUGGAGGAAGCUCAUUCUUCCGCCUAUGCUUUACAUCCCAGAAACACCAAGAUGUAUCGGACUAUUAAAGAAAAUUAUUGGUGGUCGGGUAUGAAACGAGACAUAGCAAAGUUUGUAGCAAAAUGUCUCACAUGCCAACAGAUUAAGGCGAAACAUCAAAAACCAUCAGGUACUCUUUAGCCUUUAUCGAUUCUUGAAUGGAAGUAGGAACACGUGACUAUGGACUUUGUAUUGGGUUUGCCGCAGACACAAAGUGGGAAGGAUUCUAUUUGGGUGAUUGUGGAUAGAUUGACUAAGUCCGCCUAUUUUUUGGCUAUCCAUAGCACGUAUUCUAUUGAGAUACUGGUGAAACUUUAUAUAGACGAGAUUGUGAGAUUACACGGAGUUCCAGUUUCUAUUGUGUCAGAUCGAGACCCUCGAUUUACUUCUCGAUUUUGGCUAAAAUUUUAGGAAGCUCGUGGAACUAAAUUGAGAUUUAGUACUGCCUUUCAUCCGCAGACUGAUGGUCAAUCUGAAAUGACUAUUCAGACUCUAGAAGAUAUGUUACGGGCUUGUGUCAUUGACUUCAUUGGGAGUUAGGACAGACACUUGCCAUUGGUGGAGUUCGCGUAUAAUAACAGUUUUCAGUCUAGUAUUGGGAUGGCACCCUACGAGGCUUUGUAUGGAAGGAAGUGCCAAACUCCUCUCUGUUGGGAUGAAGUGGGCGAGAGGAAAUUGGUUAAUGUGGAAUUGAUUGAUCUGACAAAUGACAAGAUCAAGGUUAUCAGAGAGCGAUUAAAGACAGCUUAAAAUAGGUAAAAGAGUUAUUCUGAUAGACGGAGGAAAGAUUUAGAGUUUAAAGUGGAUGAUAAAGUUUUUCUUAAGGUUUCUCCUUGGAAAGGUAAUAAUUUGAAAAUCUCAAGUAUUAAAUCUUAUUUGAUUAUACUAUUGUGAUAAUUUAUGGUAUUUAUUGGAUAAUGAAAGGUGUAAUUCAAUUUGCGAAGAGGGGAAAGCUCAAUCCAAGAUACAUUGGACCCUUUCGUAUCAUUGAAAUGAUUGGGCCAGUGGCUUACAGACUUGAAUUACCCCUGGAGUUAGAUCGGAUUCAUAAUGUCUUCCAUGUCUCAAUGUUGAAAAAGUAUGUUUCUGAUCCCUCUCACAUUCUAGAGACACCUCCCAUUGAGUUGCAUGAAGAUUUGAAGUUCGAGGUGCAGCCUGUACGUAUUCUAGAUCGAAAGGAUCGAGUGCUAAGGAACAAGAGUAUUCCAAUGGUGAAAGUAUUGUGGAAAAAUGCUCGAAUGGAAGAGAUGACGUGGGAAGUCGAGCGCUAGAUGAGAAAACAAUAUCCACAUCUUUUCUUAGAAUCCGGUAAGUGAAAUUUUGAGGUCAAAAUUUUAUUUUUAAGGGGGGUAGUGCUGUAAAGCCUAACCUUAUAAAAUGCUUGUCAUGACAUACAUGUGAUGAUAGCAUGAUUGUAUGCUAAGAGAGUCCCAAAAAAUUUACAAAAGUAGGUAUUGUACCUAGAGGUACAACAAAGAUGAUUUAAGCCUCGAACCAGAUCAAAUAGGAAUUUUAAGGUGAGAUUAAGAGCUUCACAAUCCAUGGAUGACUCAAAAUGGUAAUUCGGAGUUUGAGGAUCAAUUUGGAGUCAAACCAGAAUUUUCACUGCCAGAGACAAAAUGGUCAUUUGCCACCUAGGGACAAAAUGAAAAUUUUUAGAAAAGAUGUUUUUUGCCCCAUUUGACCUAUUGGAGUAUGAUUUGAGCAUAGGAGUAUGAUUUGAGGUUGAAAAGUGAAAAAAAAAAUUGUGAUUUCGGUAUUUUUUGGAGCAAAGGGUAAAAUGGUAAUUUUGCCAUUUCAGGGGCAAAAUUACCAUUUUACACACCCGACACUUGUCCAGCACAUGGAUUUUAUCCAAUUUUAUCAUGGAUAAUUGAAGGGAUUUAUAUGGUGGAGAGAGAAAGCUUAAUAGUUAAGAAAUAAAAAUGGGCCAAUGAAAUGGUGACACAUGGCAUGUUAAUAUCCAUUUACUUUUUUUAGCUUUAAAAUCAACAAAAAUAAGCAUAUUUUCUUCAUUAUGGCCGGCCAAAGCAUGAAGUGAAGAAGAACAAAGAAAGAACAAAACCUAGGUGGGAAAAUUGAAGAAAAAGUGUGGGAUUUCAAGGUAUUAAGCUAAUAAAGGUAAAUUUUUGUGAUUUUAUCUUGUGGUUUACACUACCUAUGCUUUCUUUUUCAUUUUCCAUGCUUAGAACUCAAGUUUUCAUGGUGAAUUCAUGCCUGACCAAAUGGGUAUGGAGAGAGAACGAAGUUGGAUUGAUUUGAUUCUAAGUUAUGUUAGUGUUUUUAGUUAGUUUAGCAUAUUUAGAAACAAAACAACAAGAAAAAAAAUUCAUUUUCUCCCAUUACCCAUAAGAGGCCGAAUUUUCUAGGGAGGAUAUUGAGGCUGAAAUUGAUGAUAUUUCAUGAUAUUUUGGUGAUAUUUAAUGAUUGGUGAGGCUAGAAAUUUAAUAGAAAAUUUUGGCAUGAAAAUCUGAAUUUUGACCUAAUGUAUAGACAUGUGCGAUUUAUCAUUCAGACUGAUAAAUUGAAUCAAAUUGUGAGACCUUGUCAAGCUCGAUUAAAAGACAAUAUUGUACUGAGUGGUACAACUAAGUUAAAUUGAACCUUCAACUAGUUCAAAUAGGAAUUCUAAGAGGAAAUUGAAAAUUUUGAAACCCACAGAAUAGCUUAGAAUAGUGAUUCGGAGUUCAAGGUUCAGUUUCGAGUCCAUCAGGAAAAUUGAUCGAUUAGGGACAAAACGGUUAUUUUAGCAUUUGAUAAUAAAAUGGAGAUUUUUAGCCAAGAUUUUAUCACAUUUGACCAAGAAUAAUUAUAUGAAAUAUAAUUAUGAUUAUUGGAGUAUAAAAUGAUGUUUAGUAGUGAAAAAUUAUGAUUCUCGGUAUUUUUGGAGCACAAGGGUAAAAUGGUAAUUUUGUCACUAAAGGACUAAACGAUAAUUUUUAUAAAAUGAUUUUUGCCCCAUUUAGUUAAUAUUGAUCAAUAUUAGUGUUAUUUGAGGUUGAAAAGUAGAAAUAAUGUGAUUCCGGUACAUUUCGAAGUAUAGGGGCAAAAUCGUAAUUUUUUCAUCUCGGGGGCAAAUCGGUAAAUUUUUCGUCCCAACACUUGUCAAGACCAAGGGAUUUUAAUUGUGGUAGGAUUGGAUAAAUACCAGAAUAUUUGUGGUGGAAAAUUAAGAAGAAAAAGUUAAAAAGUUAAAAAAAUUGGGCCAAUAAGCAUGUGACACGUGGCAUGCUUAAUUAUUUUAUUAUUUUCUAUAGAAAUCAGCCCAUUAAAUCCCCAAUUCUCUCACCAUAAUCAGCCUAGGCAACCAGCAACAAGAGCAAAGGAAGAACAAAGGGAAAAACAANGAAGAGGGGAAAGCUCAAUCCAAGAUACAUUGGACCCUUUCGUAUCAUUGAAAUGAUUGGGCCAGUGGCUUACAGACUUGAAUUACCCCUGGAGUUAGAUCGGAUUCAUAAUGUCUUCCAUGUCUCAAUGUUGAAAAAGUAUGUUUCUGAUCCCUCUCACAUUCUAGAGACACCUCCCAUUGAGUUGCAUGAAGAUUUGAAGUUCGAGGUGCAGCCUGUACGUAUUCUAGAUCGAAAGGAUCGAGUGCUAAGGAACAAGAGUAUUCCAAUGGUGAAAGUAUUGUGGAAAAAUGCUCGAAUGGAAGAGAUGACGUGGGAAGUCGAGCGCUAGAUGAGAAAACAAUAUCCACAUCUUUUCUUAGAAUCCGGUAAGUGAAAUUUUGAGGUCAAAAUUUUAUUUUUAAGGGGGGUAGUGCUGUAAAGCCUAACCUUAUAAAAUGCUUGUCAUGACAUACAUGUGAUGAUAGCAUGAUUGUAUGCUAAGAGAGUCCCAAAAAAUUUACAAAAGUAGGUAUUGUACCUAGAGGUACAACAAAGAUGAUUUAAGCCUCGAACCAGAUCAAAUAGGAAUUUUAAGGUGAGAUUAAGAGCUUCACAAUCCAUGGAUGACUCAAAAUGGUAAUUCGGAGUUUGAGGAUCAAUUUGGAGUCAAACCAGAAUUUUCACUGCCAGAGACAAAAUGGUCAUUUGCCACCUAGGGACAAAAUGAAAAUUUUUAGAAAAGAUGUUUUUUGCCCCAUUUGACCUAUUGGAGUAUGAUUUGAGCAUAGGAGUAUGAUUUGAGGUUGAAAAGUGAAAAAAAAAAUUGUGAUUUCGGUAUUUUUUGGAGCAAAGGGUAAAAUGGUAAUUUUGCCAUUUCAGGGGCAAAAUUACCAUUUUACACACCCGACACUUGUCCAGCACAUGGAUUUUAUCCAAUUUUAUCAUGGAUAAUUGAAGGGAUUUAUAUGGUGGAGAGAGAAAGCUUAAUAGUUAAGAAAUAAAAAUGGGCCAAUGAAAUGGUGACACAUGGCAUGUUAAUAUCCAUUUACUUUUUUUAGCUUUAAAAUCAACAAAAAUAAGCAUAUUUUCUUCAUUAUGGCCGGCCAAAGCAUGAAGUGAAGAAGAACAAAGAAAGAACAAAACCUAGGUGGGAAAAUUGAAGAAAAAGUGUGGGAUUUCAAGGUAUUAAGCUAAUAAAGGUAAAUUUUUGUGAUUUUAUCUUGUGGUUUACACUACCUAUGCUUUCUUUUUCAUUUUCCAUGCUUAGAACUCAAGUUUUCAUGGUGAAUUCAUGCCUGACCAAAUGGGUAUGGAGAGAGAACGAAGUUGGAUUGAUUUGAUUCUAAGUUAUGUUAGUGUUUUUAGUUAGUUUAGCAUAUUUAGAAACAAAACAACAAGAAAAAAAAUUCAUUUUCUCCCAUUACCCAUAAGAGGCCGAAUUUUCUAGGGAGGAUAUUGAGGCUGAAAUUGAUGAUAUUUCAUGAUAUUUUGGUGAUAUUUAAUGAUUGGUGAGGCUAGAAAUUUAAUAGAAAAUUUUGGCAUGAAAAUCUGAAUUUUGACCUAAUGUAUAGACAUGUGCGAUUUAUCAUUCAGACUGAUAAAUUGAAUCAAAUUGUGAGACCUUGUCAAGCUCGAUUAAAAGACAAUAUUGUACUGAGUGGUACAACUAAGUUAAAUUGAACCUUCAACUAGUUCAAAUAGGAAUUCUAAGAGGAAAUUGAAAAUUUUGAAACCCACAGAAUAGCUUAGAAUAGUGAUUCGGAGUUCAAGGUUCAGUUUCGAGUCCAUCAGGAAAAUUGAUCGAUUAGGGACAAAACGGUUAUUUUAGCAUUUGAUAAUAAAAUGGAGAUUUUUAGCCAAGAUUUUAUCACAUUUGACCAAGAAUAAUUAUAUGAAAUAUAAUUAUGAUUAUUGGAGUAUAAAAUGAUGUUUAGUAGUGAAAAAUUAUGAUUCUCGGUAUUUUUGGAGCACAAGGGUAAAAUGGUAAUUUUGUCACUAAAGGACUAAACGAUAAUUUUUAUAAAAUGAUUUUUGCCCCAUUUAGUUAAUAUUGAUCAAUAUUAGUGUUAUUUGAGGUUGAAAAGUAGAAAUAAUGUGAUUCCGGUACAUUUCGAAGUAUAGGGGCAAAAUCGUAAUUUUUUCAUCUCGGGGGCAAAUCGGUAAAUUUUUCGUCCCAACACUUGUCAAGACCAAGGGAUUUUAAUUGUGGUAGGAUUGGAUAAAUACCAGAAUAUUUGUGGUGGAAAAUUAAGAAGAAAAAGUUAAAAAGUUAAAAAAAUUGGGCCAAUAAGCAUGUGACACGUGGCAUGCUUAAUUAUUUUAUUAUUUUCUAUAGAAAUCAGCCCAUUAAAUCCCCAAUUCUCUCACCAUAAUCAGCCUAGGCAACCAGCAACAAGAGCAAAGGAAGAACAAAGGGAAAAACAAGAAAACCUAGGUGAAAAUUCAAAGAAAAAGUGAAGAAAUCAAGGAAACAAGCUAGGUAAGUUAGAAUUUCUUUAAUUCUCCUUGAUACCUAGCUUAUCCAUGCUUUUGUUCUUGAUUUCGAUGGUUGAAUAUUGAGUUAUCAUGAUGAAUUCAAUUCUGAAAAAUGGUUAUGGAAGAGGAAUUGUUGUUGGAAUAAUUUGAUUUUAGACUAAGUUAGUGUUUAGGGAUAGUUAAGCAUGGUUAUGAACAAAAACACAAAAGAAAUAUUCAAUUUCUCUAGGGUUCCUUGUUGGUCGAACCAUGAGGGCUGAAUAUCAAUGGGGGAUUGUUUUUAUUUCAAGGAAAAUGGCUUGGAAAAUGAUGAAUUAAGGUGAAACAGUUAUGUAGAAAAAAUUUUGGUGCUAGUUCACCAAAUGACCGAAUUUUUUUAUAAGGAACUGUGAGGGUUCUAAUGCUGAAUUUGGCUUUAUUUAAAUGGUAUGUGGUAAAUGAAGGUAUUAGAGGAGAAAUGGAUUAAUUUGGAGGUGAUUUGGACACAAUCUCCAAUUAAUCGAUGAUUGGUCAAAUUUAAUCGAUACCGCGAUUAAGCGGUAAUCGAACGUAUUUUUGCAUUUACAUAUCAAGCAUUAGUAAUUUAAAUUAGUUUAUAUCAAUUUAGGGACAAUAUAGUAAAUUCCUUGACUUUGUUAUUUGUCAAGGUAGUGAGAUGUCUAAAAAAGGCAAAGGAAUUGCGCUUGAGGACUAUUAGUUUGAGUGCACCCAAAAUCCGGAUUUUCGAUAUGGGUGAUUGGACUUGCAUUUCAAACUUGUUGUGGGGAAUAUGAAAGAUUCUAUCCAACUUGUCUUAGAAAAUGUACCUUGGGAACAAGCUUUUGUUAAAUGGUUUGAUGUUGUGAUAUGUGAUUACUAUGGAUUCAUGCAUUAUUGCAAUAUGAUGAUAUAUAUAUGUGUGUGUUGUGCAUGAUAAAUGUUAUUGUGUAUAAUGACUAUAACCGUGUGUGUGGACGAUGUGGGAAGAAUUAAGUUGGUUUUACCUGAUCUUUGGGAACUCUAACAUGUGAACAGGGGUGAAGCGUGGCUCUCUGCCCAGGGGCUUAUAAAGGAAAAGGCUACCCAAAGAGGUGGAGCUGCCCUAUGAGUGCUUUGAUAGGUACUGUUUGUCGCCUCCAUAGUGAAGGGGUUGAGUGGUAUGUCCCUCCCUAGUGACAAACUUGGUAUCAGAUUCCCAUUUUAUGGUGGUGUGAAAGGUGGAUGAUGAUAGUGCCCGUGUGCACGAUGUGGGGGGAUGUACACGGUGGCACUGAUUGUGCACGAUGCAGGGGGAAGGACACGAUGUGCCGGCUAUGUGCACGAUGUGGGUGUGAUUAUGAUGAUAUUGAUGUUUGUCUAUCUAAUUAUGCAUAUCUAGACUUAUGAAAUGAAAGCUCAUAAAUGUGAUAUAUGGUUGACAUAUAUAUGAAAUUUGAUACUUUGCACUUUGGGAAUUUUCAUGAGUUUUUUGUUGAUUUUGUUGGUUUAGUAGGGUGGCCUUUUUGUUGAGUGAAGGGAAACUUUUCCCUUGUUGCUCUGUUUCGCUGCAGCGAGAAACUCUCGAGUCUGAGGGCCUUCACCAGAACUGGUUCUCGCUACAGCGAAAAACUUUCUAUCCAUUUUGCUAACUUGUGGGUUUUUGCCAUAUUUCCCAUUUCUUUGGUACCAUAGUUGAGCAUGGAUUUUUGUAAAGUGAUUUACUCAUGUGGGGUUUACAUGAGGGGUUUAAAGGAGCUAAAACAAUUGCAUGGUUUUGAGAAAAUGAAUGCAUCAUGAUUUCGAUAAACAUUCCUUAUGGUAUGCUUGUUCCCUUCUUGUUCACUCACUGAGUAUUGUACUCACGUUUUAUAAAAAAUUCAUGUUUUCAGAUCAAGUGACUGUUGGACCCUAGAUCGAGGAGUGCCCGUAGUGUAUCUCCUGGGUAUGUGUCUGGCAUUCGAUAGUAAUCCCUUUUAUUGUAAAUGUCUCCGCUGGAAGUCAUGGGUCCUUUUGUAUUGUGAAUACAAUCUAAUAAUGUGAAUAUGUGUAUUCAAUGUAAAUUGCUAAAUACAUGACUGGUAUAGUGCAUGUAUGUUAUUAUCGAUAAUGCCAUUGUGUUUUGGCUAUGUUCACACUUGGGAAAAGGUGUGUGUGUAUGCAUGAUAUGAUAAAUUUGUUAAGCAAAGGUAAAUGGAUAGGCUUGCUUGGGCUUAGUGAGCUAUGCUCAUUGAGCUCAUGCGUCGGUCAUGGCCCGAAAAAAUUGGGUCGUGACACAUAUUCAUAGUCAUUGAGGUGUUUUAAGUAUAAUUGGAGUGUAGAAAGUGAAAGAAAUCGAUUUGGAGUUAAAUUGGAGGUUUUAGCCAAUUAGACCGAGAAUAGUGCGAAUUAGGUCGAAUACCGUAUUUAAAUGGCUAUUCGGACAUUUUUGCAUUCCAUAUCAUCCAUUAGUAGUCUAAAUUAGUUUAAUUUCGAUUUAGUACCAAUGUAGUAACUUUCUUGAUUUUGUACUAUGUCUAGGUGGUGAAUCCUUCGAUAAAAGCAAGGAAAUUGUACCCGAGGAUCAGUAGUCAGAGUACUCUAGAAACUUGACUCCCGAAAUAGUGAGUAACCUUACUAUCAUUUUAAUUAUCUAAAGUAUGUUUUUAUAAGGUUUUGGUGAAUUUUAUGAAAAUGAGUUCAAAUGGUAAGUUUUUAUGUUUUGUAAACAAAAUGUGUUUAAAUGAAAAGAUUUUAUAAAUUGUCUUGAAACGAAAUAAUGCUUUUAAAAAUAGAGUAAUUGGAGACCACUGGUAUGUUGUAAAUUUAUGAUUGAAAAUUGAUGGCUUAUGUUAUAUUGUUAUUGUGUUGGCAUGACUGGCUAGGCUGUAUUUUAUGAGUUGUAUGAAUUGUUUUAUGUUACCCUUGCAGGCUGGGUAGUAUUAUAUUAGCCCUGUCAUGCUGUUAAAAUUUUAUUAUAUGGUGGGUUUAGCUUGCUGCAGUAGGCAGAUUCUGUGGACCAGCCUAUUAGAGGGGCACGGAACCCGGAUAUAUAUAUAUGUACCUUGGUCGGAGAGGCGCGUAAAGUAUCUCUUGAGGUAUCGAUAGAGUUCACGUCACGCUGAACCACCUCAUGAUGAUGAACUACGCUAACGCUAAGGAAUGGCUGUGUUUUUCAAACUAAAAAUAUGUUUACGUGUAUAUGAACUUUUUAACAGCCUUGGCGGACUUGGUUAGAUGCCUUGACCAAGGUAUCCCUGAGAAUGAUUUUGGCAAGAGCCAAACUUUUUAAGAUACUCAUAAGCCAUGUUGAAUAUUUAAAUGAAAUGAAUAUUUAUGUUAUGAAAUACAUAUUGAGAUGAAAUAUUUUAAUUGUCUCCUUUUACUCGACUUUAGAUAUUUCGGAUGAUGUUUGUUUACUCACUGUGAUUAUAAAAUCUCACCACUCUUCUUUCCACCCAUUUCAGGUUCAGAUUAGGCUGUAGAUAGCUGAGUUCAUCGAGGACUACCCUUGGAUUUGCAUUCCUUCAAACUGUAGGUUCACAGUCCUCUUUACUUUUGGUUAUUCGGGGGCCCACUGGUCAUUGUAAAUUAAAUUAAAUACUCUGGUUUACUGUAUUACAGUAUGUAUGAAUUUACUUUGCUUUUACGCUACAAAAAUUAUCUACGUAUAACUCUGAAAAUAUUGUUUAAUAAGAAAAUAGAAUAUUUUACUUAAUAUUUAUUUUAUUUUCUUAUUAUAUCCAAAUAAUCAUAAUUUCGUUUUAAACGAAUGUUUU
rnacentral:lncRNA from 1 species